rnacentral:sRNA from 1 species
GCCAGAAUAAAUCACAAAAGGGUCAGUGU